rnacentral:rRNA from 1 species
UUCUUUAGGAUUAAUAAUCAAAAGUAUACCCUGCUCCAUGAAGAUUUUAAAUAGCUGCAUUUAUUUUGCACUAAGGUAGCAUAAUCAUUUGUUUAUUCAUUGUAAACUUGUAUGAAGGGGUGAAUUAUUAUAGACUUUAUUAAAUUAAUAAUUUUAACUUAAAGAUUUUUUAAAAAUGAAAAAAUAUUAUUUAGGGACGAGACGACCCUAUAAAGCUUGAGAUUGUUUUUUAUUAUAAUAAGAAAUUAAUCUUUAAUUGGGGCAAUGUUUUAUGAUGAUAAUUAUAAAAAUAAGAGAAUAGGAAAAAUUUUUGAUGGAUCCAAUUAUAUUGAUUAGUUGAAAAAGUUACUUUAGGGAUAACAGGAUAAUUUUUAUUAAAAAGUUCUUAUUGAGAAUAGAGAUUAUUACCUCGAUGUUGAAUUAACUUAAGAAAAAGAAGGAGAAGAUUUUUUCUUUUUGACUGNUCGUCCAAUAAUAAAGUUACA